UCGUAUACUGAGUGUAUCCUGA
rnacentral:miRNA from 1 species